AAACUAACAAGGAUUCCCCUAGUAACGGCGAGUGAAGCGGGAAGAGCUCAAAUUUAAAAUCUGGCAGGCUACGCUUGUCCGAAUUGUAAUCUCGAGAAGUGUUUUCCGCGUUGGCCUGUGUACAAGUCCCUUGGAACAGGGCGUCAUAGAGGGUGAGAAUCCCGUCCUUGACACAGACACCCAAUGCUUUGUGAUACACUCUCAAUGAGUCGAGUUGUUUGGGAAUGCAGCUCAAAAUGGGUGGUAAAUUCCAUCUAAAGCUAAAUACUGGCGAGAGACCGAUAGCGAACAAGUACCGUGAGGGAAAGAUGAAAAGCACUUUGGAAAGAGAGUCAAACAGUACGUGAAAUUGUUGAAAGGGAAACGAUUGAAGUCAGUCGUGCCUGCCUAGAUUCAGCCUUCUGGUGUAUUUCUAGGUUGGCAGGUCAGCAUCAGUUUGGGGGGGUUAACAAGGGAAUUGGGAAUGUGGCAACCUCGGUUGUGUUAUAGCCCAGUUUCGCAUUGAUCUCGCUGGACUGAGGAACGCAGUGCGCCCGCAAGGGUUGGUCUUCGGACACAUUCGCACUUAGGAUGCGGCUUUUU
rnacentral:rRNA from 1 species